AACAGGGGGUGCAAACGUUGCUCGGAAUCAUUGGGCGUAAAGCGCACGUAGGCGGUUCGUUAUGUCGGAUGUGAAAGCCCUGGGCUCAACUCAGGAAGUGCACCCGAUACUGCGUGGCUCGAGUACCGGAGAGGUUGGUGGAAUUCUCGGUGUAGAGGUGAAAUUCGUAGAUAUCGAGAGGAACACCUGUGGCGAAGGCGGCCAACUGGACGAGUACUGACACUGAGACACGAAAGCGUGGGGAGCAAACAGG
rnacentral:rRNA from 1 species